rnacentral:rRNA from 1 species
UACGGAGGAUCCGAGCGUUAUCCGGAUUUAUUGGGUUUAAAGGGUGCGUAGGCGGCCUGUCAAGUCGGCGGUGAAACCCCCGGGCUCAACCCGGGGACUGCCGUCGAAACUGACGGGCUUGAGUACGUUGGGAGUGCGCGGAAUGUGUGGUGUAGCGGUGAAAUGCUUAGAUAUCACACAGAACACCGAUCGCGAAGGCAGCGCACUACGCCGUAACUGACGCUGAGGCACGAAGGUGCGGGGAUCGAACAGG